rnacentral:rRNA from 1 species
ACACACGCUACAAUGGCCAGUACAAUGGGUUGCCAAGCCGCGAGGCGGAGCCAAUCCUAAAAAGACUGGCCUCAGUUCAGAUUGCAGUCUGCAACUCGACUGCAUGAAGUUGGAGUUGCUAGUAACCGCAGGUCAGCAAUACUGCGGUGAAUACGUUCCCGGGGAUU